UUACUGGGCGUAAAGCGCGCGUAGGUGGUUUUUUAAGUUGGAUGUGAAAGCCCUGGGCUCAACCUAGGAACUGCAUCCAAAACUAGAUGACUAGAGUACGAAAGAGGGAAGUAGAAUUCACAGUGUAGCGGUGGAAUGCGUAGAUAUUGUGAAGAAUACCAAUGGCGAAGGCAGCUUCCUGGUUCUGUACUGACACUGAGGUGCGAAAGCGUGGGUAGCGAACAGGAUUAGAUACCCUGGUAGUCCACGCCGUAAACGAUGACAACUAGCUGUUGGGAGACAAGAUCUCUCAGUGGCGCAGCUAACGCUUUAAGUUGUCCGCCUGGGGAGUACGGCCGCAAGGUUAAAACUCAAAUGAAUUGACGGGGACCCGCACAAGCGGUGGAGCAUGUGGUUUAAUUCGAUGCAACGCGAAAAACCUUACCUACUCUUGACAUACUUGGAAGCUCUUGUAAUGAGAGUGUGCUUUUAGAGCCAAGAUACAGGUGCUGCAUGGCUGUCGUCAGCUCGUGUCGUGAGAUGUUGGGUUAAGUCCCAUAACGAGCGCAACCCUUACCCUUAUUUGCCAGCGGUUCGGCCGGGAACUAUAAGGGGACUGCCGGUGACAAACCGGAGGAAGGUGAGGACGACGUCAAGUCAUCAUGGCCCUUACGAGUAGGGCUACACACGUGCUACAAUGGGGAAUACAGACGGACGCUAAAGCGUGAGCUGGUGCCAAUCCUAAAAAAUUUCUCGUAGUCCGGAUUGCAGUCUGCAACUCGACUGCAUGAAGUCGGAAUCGCUAGUAAUCGCGAAUCAGCAUGUCGCGGUGAAUACGUUCUCGGGUCUUGUACACACCGCCCGUCACACCAUGGAAGUGUGUUGCACCAGAAGUAGGUAGUCUAACCUUCGGGAAGGCGCUUACCACGGUGUGAUCCAUGACUGGGGUGAAGUCAUAACAAGGUACA
rnacentral:rRNA from 1 species